CCUUUGUCAGCAUUCCGCUCCUGAACCAUGCGGAAGUGCAGCGAUUUGGAGUCCUUACAUUCAUGGGAUGCCACCAGAUCCGGCACUUCUAAGGACAUACUUUGAGGUGCCGGUCUGAGAGCUGGUGUGAGUGACCGCAGCGGACGUAGGGUGACCAAGCGAGGGCCAGGCCUGGCUGUAACGUAGAUUGGGGCGGCUGGCGGCUGUGUCAUGCUAUGCCACGAACUCAUCUCCAUCUUCUUCUACGCCGGCCUGUGGCUGUUGCUGGUCCUGUAUGUGCCCAGCUGGGUGAGCUACGCUUGCGACAGGCGAUACCUCAAGUCUAUAGGACGCCAAGCGGCCCGGGUUCACACCCGCCACAAACCCCCUGGUUCCGCUCCAGGCUCGGCCAAUCAGGGGCAAGAACAUAACACGCUCCAGACAUCCGCAGGCCGUGUGUGUGACAGGAGUACUAGGAACAGACUAAAGAGACCCAGAUAGGCGAGCAGGAGAAGUGAGUUUUUGUGCAACC